CCUACGGGGGGCAGCAGUGGGGAAUAUUGGGCAAUGGGCGCAAGCCUGACCCAGCAACGCCGCGUGAAGGAAGAAGGCUUUCGGGUUGUAAACUUCUUUUUAGCGGGAAGAGCAGAAGACGGUACCCCUUGAAUAAGCCACUGCUAAAAACGUGCCAGCAGCCCCGGUACUACGGAGGUGGCAAGCUUUGUCCGGAUUUACGGGGGGUAAAGGGCGUGCAGCCGGGAAUAUAAGUCAGAUGUGAAAUCCACGGGCUCAACCCGUGAACCGCAUUUGAAACUGUUUCCCUUGAGUGUCGGAGAGGUAUGCGGAAUUCCUGGUGUAGCGGUGAAAUGCGUAGAUAUAAGGAAGAACACCAGUUGCGAAGGCGGAUUACUGGACGAUAACUGACGGUGAGGCGCGAAAGCGUGGGGAGCAAACAGGAUUAGAUACCCGAGUAGUC
rnacentral:rRNA from 1 species